rnacentral:rRNA from 1 species
UACGUAGGGUGCAAGCGUUAAUCGGAAUUACUGGGCGUAAAGCGUGCGAAGGCGGUUAUGUAAGACAGGUGUGAAAUCCCCGGGCUUAACCUGGGAACUGCAUUUGUGACUGCAUAGCUAGAGUACGGGUAGAGGGGGAUGGAAUUCCGCGUGUAGCAGUGAAAUGCGUAGAUAUGCGGAGGAACACCGAUGGCGAAGGCAAUCCCCUGGACCUGUACUGACGCUCAUGCACGAAAGCGUGGGGAGCAAACGAG